rnacentral:rRNA from 1 species
GAUGAACGCUAGCUCCAGGCUUAACACAUGCAAGUCGAGGGACCGGCGCUCGGGUGAGUAACACGUAUCAAACAUGGCAUUUACUCGGGGAUAGCCUGGCGAAAGCAAGAAUAAUACACGAUAUAAAGGAUGGGGAUGCGUUCCAUUAGGGUGUUGGUGAGGUAACGUCCCACCAAGACGUCGAUGGAUAGGGGUUCUGAGAGGCAGGUACCCCACAUUGGAACUGGGUCACGGUCCACACUCCGACUGACUGCAGAAGUGAGGAGUAUUGGUCAAUGGGCGUUAGCCUGAACCAGCCAAGUAGCGUGAAGGAUGAAGGCUUAUGGGUCUUAAACUUCUUUUAUAUAAGAAUAGGUAUUAUAUGAAUAAGGAGCGGCUAACUCCGUGCCAGGAGCCGCGGUAAUUC